UGAGGAAUAUUGGUCAAUGGACGCAAGUCUGAACCAGCCAAGUAGCGUGCAGGAUGACGGCCCUAUGGGUUGUAAACUGCUUUUAUAUGGGGAUAAAGUGGGGAACGUGUUCCCUUUUGCAGGUACCAUAUGAAUAAGGACCGGCUAAUUCCGUGCCAGCAGCCGCGGUAAUACGGAAGGUUCGGGCGUUAUCCGGAAUUAUUGGGUUUAAAGGGUGCGUAGGUUGCAAGGGAAGUCAGGGGUGAAAAGCUAUAGCUCAACUAUGGUCUUGCCUUUGAAACUCUCUAGCUGGAGUGUACUGGAGGUACGUGGAACGUGUGGUGUAGCGGUGAAAUGCGUAGAUAUCACACAGAACUCCGAUUGCGCAGGCAGCGUACUACGUUACAACUGACACUGAAGCACGAAAGCGUGGGUAUCAAACAGG
rnacentral:rRNA from 1 species